AUUGAACGCUGGCGGCAGGCCUAACACAUGCAAGUCGAGCGGAUGAGUGGAGCUUGCUCCAUGAUUCAGCGGCGGACGGGUGAGUAAUGCCUAGGAAUCUGCCUGGUAGUGGGGGACAACGUUUCGAAAGGAACGCUAAUACCGCAUACGUCCUACGGGAGAAAGUGGGGGAUCUUCGGACCUCACGCUAUCAGAUGAGCCUAGGUCGGAUUAGCCAGUUGGUGAGGUAAAGGCUCACCAAGGCGACGAUCCGUAACUGGUCUGAGAGGAUGAUCAGUCACACUGGAACUGAGACACGGUCCAGACUCCUACGGGAGGCAGCAGUGGGGAAUAUUGGACAAUGGGCGAAAGCCUGAUCCAGCCAUGCCGCGUGUGUGAAGAAGGUCUUCGGAUUGUAAAGCACUUUAAGUUGGGAGGAAGGGCAGUAAGUUAAUACCUUGCUGUUUUGACGUUACCAACAGAAUAAGCACCGGCUAACUUCGUG
rnacentral:rRNA from 1 species